UGCUGUGUUCUGUAUGGAAGACUAGUGAUUUUGUUGUUGUGUGUCUUGCAAACAACAGUAAAUCACAGUCUUCCUUACGGUGCAUCGGCA
rfam:Branchiostoma floridae genomic scaffold BRAFLscaffold_119, whole genome shotgun sequence.